rnacentral:rRNA from 1 species
GGGUUGUGAGGUUAAGCGACUAAGCGUACACGGUGGAUGCCCUGGCAGUCAGAGGCGAUGAAGGACGUGCUAAUCUGCGAUAAGCGUCGGUGAGGUGAUAUGAAUCGUUAUAACCGGCGAUUUCCGAAUGGGGAAACCCAGUGUGUUUCGACACACUAUCAUUAACUGAAUCCAUAGGUUAAUGAGGCGAACCGGGGGAACUGAAACAUCUAAGUACCCCGAGGAAAAGAAAUCAACCGAGAUUCCCCCAGUAGCGGCGAGCGAACGGGGAGGAGCCCAGAGCCUGAAUCAGUGUGUGUGUUAGUGGAAGCGUCUGGAAAGGCGCGCGAUACAGGGUGACAGCCCCGUACACAAAAAUGCACAUAUUGUGAGCUCGAUGAGUAGGGCGGGACACGUGGUAUCCUGUCUGAAUAUGGGGGGACCAUCCUCCAAGGCUAAAUACUCCUGACUGACCGAUAGUGAACCAGUACCGUGAGGGAAAGGCGAAAAGAACCCCGGCGAGGGGAGUGAAAAAGAACCUGAAACCGUGUACGUACAAGCAGUGGGAGCCUCUUAAUGGGGUGACUGCGUACCUUUUGUAUAAUGGGUCAGCGACUUAUAUUCUGUAGCAAGGUUAACCGAAUAGGGGAGCCGAAGGGAAACCGAGUCUUAACUGGGCGUUAAGUUGCAGGGUAUAGACCCGAAACCCGGUGAUCUAGCCAUGGGCAGGUUGAAGGUUGGGUAACACUAACUGGAGGACCGAACCGACUAAUGUUGAAAAAUUAGCGGAUGACUUGUGGCUGGGGGUGAAAGGCCAAUCAAACCGGGAGAUAGCUGGUUCUCCCCGAAAGCUAUUUAGGUAGCGCCUCGUGAAUUCAUCUCCGGGGGUAGAGCACUGUUUCGGCAAGGGGGUCAUCCCGACUUACCAACCCGAUGCAAACUGCGAAUACCGGAGAAUGUUAUCACGGGAGACACACGGCGGGUGCUAACGUCCGUCGUGAAGAGGGAAACAACCCAGACCGCCAGCUAAGGUCCCAAAGUCAUGGUUAAGUGGGAAACGAUGUGGGAAGGCCCAGACAGCCAGGAUGUUGGCUUAGAAGCAGCCAUCAUUUAAAGAAAGCGUAAUAGCUCACUGGUCGAGUCGGCCUGCGCGGAAGAUGUAACGGGGCUAAACCAUGCACCGAAGCUGCGGCAGCGACGCUUAUGCGUUGUUGGGUAGGGGAGCGUUCUGUAAGCCUGUGAAGGUGUGCUGUGAGGCAUGCUGGAGGUAUCAGAAGUGCGAAUGCUGACAUAAGUAACGAUAAAGCGGGUGAAAAGCCCGCUCGCCGGAAGACCAAGGGUUCCUGUCCAACGUUAAUCGGGGCAGGGUGAGUCGACCCCUAAGGCGAGGCCGAAAGGCGUAGUCGAUGGGAAACAGGUUAAUAUUCCUGUACUUGGUGUUACUGCGAAGGGGGGACGGAGAAGGCUAUGUUGGCCGGGCGACGGUUGUCCCGGUUUAAGCGUGUAGGCUGGUUUUCCAGGCAAAUCCGGAAAACCAAGGCUGAGGCGUGAUGACGAGGCACUACGGUGCUGAAGCAACAAAUGCCCUGCUUCCAGGAAAAGCCUCUAAGCAUCAGGUAACAUCAAAUCGUACCCCAAACCGACACAGGUGGUCAGGUAGAGAAUACCAAGGCGCUUGAGAGAACUCGGGUGAAGGAACUAGGCAAAAUGGUGCCGUAACUUCGGGAGAAGGCACGCUGAUAUGUAGGUGAAGCGACUUGCUCGUGGAGCUGAAAUCAGUCGAAGAUACCAGCUGGCUGCAACUGUUUAUUAAAAACACAGCACUGUGCAAACACGAAAGUGGACGUAUACGGUGUGACGCCUGCCCGGUGCCGGAAGGUUAAUUGAUGGGGUUAGCGGUAACGCGAAGCUCUUGAUCGAAGCCCCGGUAAACGGCGGCCGUAACUAUAACGGUCCUAAGGUAGCGAAAUUCCUUGUCGGGUAAGUUCCGACCUGCACGAAUGGCGUAAUGAUGGCCAGGCUGUCUCCACCCGAGACUCAGUGAAAUUGAACUCGCUGUGAAGAUGCAGUGUACCCGCGGCAAGACGGAAAGACCCCGUGAACCUUUACUAUAGCUUGACACUGAACAUUGAGCCUUGAUGUGUAGGAUAGGUGGGAGGCUUUGAAGUGUGGACGCCAGUCUGCAUGGAGCCGACCUUGAAAUACCACCCUUUAAUGUUUGAUGUUCUAACGUUGGCCCGUAAUCCGGGUUGCGGACAGUGUCUGGUGGGUAGUUUGACUGGGGCGGUCUCCUCCUAAAGAGUAACGGAGGAGCACGAAGGUUGGCUAAUCCUGGUCGGACAUCAGGAGGUUAGUGCAAUGGCAUAAGCCAGCUUGACUGCGAGCGUGACGGCGCGAGCAGGUGCGAAAGCAGGUCAUAGUGAUCCGGUGGUUCUGAAUGGAAGGGCCAUCGCUCAACGGAUAAAAGGUACUCCGGGGAUAACAGGCUGAUACCGCCCAAGAGUUCAUAUCGACGGCGGUGUUUGGCACCUCGAUGUCGGCUCAUCACAUCCUGGGGCUGAAGUAGGUCCCAAGGGUAUGGCUGUUCGCCAUUUAAAGUGGUACGCGAGCUGGGUUUAGAACGUCGUGAGACAGUUCGGUCCCUAUCUGCCGUGGGCGCUGGAGAACUGAGGGGGGCUGCUCCUAGUACGAGAGGACCGGAGUGGACGCAUCACUGGUGUUCGGGUUGUCAUGCCAAUGGCACUGCCCGGUAGCUAAAUGCGGAAGAGAUAAGUGCUGAAAGCAUCUAAGCACGAAACUUGCCCCGAGAUGAGUUCUCCCUGAGACUUAGAGUCUCCUGAAGGAACGUUGAAGACGACGACGUUGAUAGGCCGGGUGUGUAAGCGCAGCGAUGCGUUGAGCUAACCGGUACUAAUGAACCGUGAGGCUUAACCUUACAACGCCGAAG